GUAAACCUUUGUCUACAGGUGAUUUUACACUUUCAUGAUAAGAAAAAAAAUGGGCGGAUCGAUCCAAAUAUUUUAUUAUAUUAUAUUUCAAUACUGUUUCUAUCCUCUAGAGCCCAUUUCCAUUAGCAUCUACUCCUACUUGGAUUGACUCGCCACGACUGGUUUUCCGUUAUAAUCUAGUACUACCUCAUGUGCGUGGCUGUCAUCAUGGCAAUGCUGCUGAGCGUCCCGUGAUGUAAUUAGUAUGCAACACAAACGCUACAACAAAGGUGGACGUAGAGGUGACGAUAUACCUGCUGCUCGGUCUGUGGCUUUUCGUCAGACUCGGAGGACCACAGUUUUUAUUUUCAUGAACGAGACGCUCUCAUGACUCAUCAAGUGACGUCACUGACCAGCCAAUCAGUGGCAUGCAGUCUGACAAUCUCACAUUUUAGUACCUGCUUGAAUCGCUUGGAACACCGGAUUGUGCACGUACUAAAAAGUACCUGAUACCAGGUACUGUGACCUAACUGAAAAUCCUUAAAACCGUGCAGAGUCGAUCCGAGUACGAUUUGAUUAAUGUGGGUUUUGGCUCGUCUGGACAGAAACAUCAGCAAGGACACUGUGGACGUAAAAUGCUUCUGCUGCUGCUGCUGUGAUGGUGGUGUUGCAGACCCCCCAUGCAGGCCAGAUCUUUCUGCAGCUUCUGCACCGACACAUGAUCUGACUAGGAAGGAUGCAAAGGUGGAAGCAGACCGUGCUGGAUUUAGUUUCACAGCAUCUUACUGGAGCAAACGCACACAACAUACUGCAAGGUUUUCAGUAGUAUCUACUUCCCCCUUUUUUUUUCUUUUUUUUGUUUGAGAGGACACGGAUACACCCUGACUGGGCCCCUGUAGUGCUCUACAUUGUGGUUGGGAAGUACCUAGUUUUACAACUGUCAUGCUGGCCUGCUUAAAGGGACAGUGCUGAUCAAUUCGAAGCACAUAUUCAGGGGUCUUUUAGUCACCCUAACAAGGGGGUCACAUGGAUGUUUGAGUCGUCAUUCCUCAUGUGAGGAAUGUGCAGUCCGAAGAGCCGCUUUCUGCAUCAAGCACUGCAUAAAAAUACUGAUUGAUAUUUGUUAAAAGAAUGUCUUUAAUAAAAAGUUGAAUUGAAUUGGGUGUGAGAGUUUCCUGCUUUUGAAAAACGAAAGAGAGAAGACUCACAACUCUACAGGUUCUUUUUAGUCUGAAUGCAUAGUGGAUUUGUUUU
ensembl:lncRNA